UUGGAGGGCAAGUCUGGUGCCAGCAGCCGCGGUAAUUCCAGCUCCAAUAGCGUAUAUUAAAGUUGUUGCAGUUAAAAAGCUCGUAGUUGAAUUUCGGGAUUCUACCGUUGGUCGGGCUAACAAGUCUGUACUGGUGUGUAGAAUUUCUACCUUCUGGGGAACUAUCAUGUUAUUAAUUUAGCGUGGUGGGAAACCAGGACCUUUACCUUGAAAAAAUUAGAGUGUUCAAAGCAGGCUUACGUCUGAAUACAUUAGCAUGGAAUAAUAGAAUAGGACGGUGGUCCUGUUUUGUUGGUUUCUGAAUCACCGUAAUGAUUAAUAGGGAUAGUUGGGGGCAUUAGUAUUCAAUUGUCAGAGGUGAAAUUCUUGGAUUUAUUGAAGACUAACUUCUGCGAAAGCAUUUGCCAAGGAUGUUUUCAUUAAUCAAGAACGAAAGUUAGGGGAUCGAAGACGAUCAGAUACCGUCGUAGUCUUAACCAUAAACUAUGCCGACUAGGGGGAUCGGGACGAUGUUAAAUUUUAUUGACUCGUUCGGCGCCUUACGGGGAAACCAAAGUGUUUAGGGGUUC
rnacentral:rRNA from 1 species